GGCGGCGUGCCUAAUACAUGCAAGUCGAACGGACAAGUAAGAGCUUGCUCUUAUGAGUUAGUGGCGCACGGGUGAGUAAUGUAUAGCUAAUCUGCCCUACACUAGAGGACAACAGUUGGAAACGGCUGCUAAUACUCUAUACUCCUGUCUUACAUAAGUUAGAUAGGGAAAGUUUUUCGGUGUAGGAUGAGGCUAUAUUGUAUCAGCUAGUUGGUGAGGUAAUGGCUCACCAAGGCUAUGACGCAUAACUGGUCUGAGAGGAUGAUCAGUCACACUGGAACUGAGACACGGUCCAGACUCCUACGGGAGGCAGCAGUAGGGAAUAUUGCUCAAUGGGGGAAACCCUGAAGCAGCAACGCCGCGUGGAGGAUGACACUUUUCGGAGCGUAAACUCCUUUUGUUAGGGAAGAACAAUGACCGUACCUAACGAAUAAGCCCCGCA
rnacentral:rRNA from 1 species